rnacentral:rRNA from 1 species
UUAGUGGCAGACGGGUGAGUAACGCGUGGGAAUAUACCUUUCGGUACGGAACAACAGUUGGAAACGACUGCUAAUACCGUAUGCGCCCUACGGGGGAAAGAUUUAUCGCCGAAGGAUUAGCCCGCGUUGGAUUAGCUAGUUGGUGGGGUAAAGGCCUACCAAGGCGACGAUCCAUAGCUGGUCUGAGAGGAUGAUCAGCCACACUGGGACUGAGACACGGCCNAGANUCNNNCGGGAGGCAGCAGUGGGGAAUAUUGGACAAUGGGGGCAACCCUGAUCCAGCCAUGCCGCGUGAGUGAUGAAGGCCCUAGGGUUGUAAAGCUCUUUCAGCGAGGAGGAUAAUGACGUUACUCGCAGAAGAAGCCCCGGCUAACUUCGUGCCAGCAGCCGCGGUAAUACGAAGGGGGCUAGCGUUGUUCGGAAUAACUGGGCGUAAAGCGCACGUAGGCGGACUUUUAAGUCAGGGGUGAAAUCCCAGAGCUCAACUCUGGAACUGCCUUUGAUACUGGAAGUCUUGAGUCCGAGAGAGGUGAGUGGAACUCCGAGUGUAGAGGUGAAAUUCGUAGAUAUUCGGAAGAACACCAGUGGCGAAGGCGGGCUCACUGGCUCGGUACUGACGCUGAGGUGCGAAAGCGUGGGGAGCAAACAGGAUUAGAUACCCUGNUAGUCCACGCCGUAAACGAUGGAAGCUAGUUGUCAGGCAGCAUGCUGUUUGGUGACGCANCUAACGCAUUAAGCUUCCCGCCUGGGNGUACGGNCGCAAGAUUAAAACUCAANGGAAUUGACGGGGGCCCGCACAAGCGGUGG